rnacentral:rRNA from 1 species
CCUACGGGAGGCAGCAGUGAGGAAUAUUGGUCAAUGGUCGGGAGACUGAACCAGCCAAGCCGCGUGAGGGAGGAAGGUACAGAGUAUCGUAAACCUCUUUUGUCAGGGAACAAAGGCGGGGACGUGUCCCCGGAUGAGUGUACCUGAAGAAAAAGCAUCGGCUAACUCCGUGCCAGCAGCCGCGGUAAUACGGAGGAUGCGAGCGUUAUCCGGAUUUAUGGGGUUAAAAGGGUGCGCAGGCGGGCUGUUAAGUCAGCGGUCAAAGCCCGGGGCUCAACCCCGGCCCGCCGUUGAAACUGGCAGUCUCGAGUUGGAGAGAAGUAUGCGGAAUGCGCGGUGUAGCGGUGAAAUGCAUAGAUAUCGCGCAGAACUCCGAUUGCGAAGGCAGCAUGCCGGCUCCACACUGACGCUGAGGCACGAAAGCGUGGGUAUCGAACAGGAUUAGAUACCCUUGUAGUC